ACCCGCACAAGCAGCGGAGCGUGUGGUUUAAUUCGUUGCUACACGAAGAACCUUACCUGGGUUUGACAUAUAGGUUGUAGGGAACUGAAAGGGACGACCCUUCGGGAGCCUAUACAGGUGUUGCAUGGCUGUCGUCAGCUCGUGUCGUGAGAUGUUCGGUUAAGUCCGCUAACGAGCGCAACCCUCGUCGUAUGUUAUAUGUGUCAUACGAGACUGCCGGUAAAAGCCGGAGGAAGGUGAGGAUGAUGUCAAGUCAGCAUGACCUUUAUAUCCAGGGCUACACACACGCUACAAUGGUCUGUACAAUGGGUAGCCAAGCCGCGAGGCGGAGCCAAUCCUGAAAGCAGGCCUCAGUUCAGAUUGCAGUCUGCAACUCGACUGCAUGAAGCCGGAGUUGCUAGUAACCGCAGGUCAGCAAUACUGCGGUGAAUACGUUCCCGGGUCUU
rnacentral:rRNA from 1 species